rnacentral:rRNA from 1 species
CCCUUAGAUGUUCUGGACCGCACGCGCGCUACACUGACGGAGGCAGCGAGCAUGUCCUUCGCCGAGAGGUGUGGGGAAUCUUGUGAGUCUCCGUCGUGCUGGGGAUAGAUGGUUGCAAUUGUCGAUCUUGAACGAGGAAUUCCUAGUAAGCGCGAGUCAUCAGCUCGCGCUGAUUACGUCCCUGCCCUUUGUACACACCGCCCGUCGCUACUACCGAUUGAAUCGUUUAGCGAGAAUUUUGGAUCGGAGCCCUGGUGGGCAGCGAUGUCCGCCUGGGAUUUACCGAGAAAUCAUUCCAGCUUGCCGAUUUAGAGGAAGUAAAAGUCGUAACA